UUACGGCCAAAUCACGUUGAAACAAUGGUUCCGGUACGAUCACCGAAUUUAAGCAACGUCGAGCCUGGUCAGUACCUAGAUGGGUGACCACUUAGGAAUAUCAAGUGCUGUAAG
rnacentral:rRNA from 1 species